UAAUACAUAGCCAAGUAGAACGGACUGAAGGAAGGAGGCUUGUCGCUUUCCGGUAGUGAGUUAGGCGAAACGGGUGAGUAACGCGUAGGUAACCUAGCCUCGGUAAGCGGGGGAGUAACGUAAUUGGUAAACGAUAGCUAAUACCGCAUAACAGUAGAUAUCGCAUGAUAGCUGCUUGAAAGGUGCAAAUGCACCACUACCAGAUGGACCUGCGUUGCAUUAGCUAGUUGGUGAGGUAACGGCUCACCAAGGCAACGAUACAUAGCCGACCUGAGAGGGUGAUCGGCCACACUGGGACUGAGACACGGCCCAGACUCCUACGGGAGGCAGCAUAGGGAAUCUUCGGCAAUGGACGGAAGUCUGACCGAGCAACGCCGCGUGAGUGAAGAAGGUUUUCGGAUCGUAAAGCUCUGUUGUAAGAGAAGAACGAGUGUGAGAGUGGAAAGUUCACACUGUGACGGUAUCUUACCAGAAAGGGACGGCUAACUACGUG
rnacentral:rRNA from 1 species